CAGUAGCCGCGGUAAUACGAGGGGGGCGAGCGUUGUUCGGAAUUAUUGGGCGUAAAGGGUGCGUAGGCGGUUCAGUAAGUCUUGUGUGAAAUCUUCGGGCUCAACUCGAAGUCUGCAUGAGAAACUGCUGGGCUUGAGUGUGGGAGAGGUGAGUGGAAUUCCCGGUGUAGCGGUGAAAUGCGUAGACAUCGGGAGGAACACCUGUGGCGAAAGCGGCUCACUGGACCACAACUGACGCUGAGGCACGAAAGCUAGGGGAGCAAACAGGAUUAGAUACCCCAGUAGUCCCUGUCUCUUAUAC
rnacentral:rRNA from 1 species